rnacentral:rRNA from 1 species
ACGCUGGCGGAAUGCUUUACACAUGCAAGUCGAACGGUAGAGGGGGCAACCCCUUGAGAGUGGCGAACGGGUGAGUAAUAUAUCGGAACGUGCCCAGUCGUGGGGGAUAACGUAGCGAAAGUUACGCUAAUACCGCAUACGAUCUAGGAUGAAAGCGGGGGACUCGCAAGAGCCUCGCGCGAUUGGAGCGGCCGAUAUCAGAUUAGGUAGUUGGUGGGGUAAAGGCUCACCAAGCCAACGAUCUGUAGCUGGUCUGAGAGGACGACCAGCCACACUGGAACUGAGACACGGUCCAGACUCCUACGGGAGGCAGCAGUGGGGAAUUUUGGACAAUGGACGCAAGUCUGAUCCAGCCAUUCCGCGUGCAGGAUGAAGGCCCUCGGGUUGUAAACUGCUUUUGUACGGAACGAAAAGGUUUCUAUUAAUACUAGGAGCUCAUGACGGUACCGUAAGAAUAAGCACCGGCUAACUACGUGCCAGCAGCCGCGGUAAU